ACUAUACGCAUUCCAGAGCGAUCACUUUCAUCACGAAUAUCACAAAUGCCAUCUAAACUCUUAUUCUCUACAAGUUCAGCAAUCUUUUCCACAAGCGAUGCCUUGUUGGUUUGAUAAGGAACCUCUUUUAUGAUAACUGCAGUUCGCUUGGUUUUUGAGUCAAUCAAUUCAACAUCUGUUUUCCCUCUGACUAUGAUACGUCCUCGCCCAUUCCGAUAUGCCUCUAAGAUCCCAAGGUUUCCCAUAAUUAGUCCUCCAGUUGGAAAGUCAGGUCCAGGCAUAUAUUCCAGCAACUCCUGCAAAGUGGCUUCAGGAUUGUGAAUUAAUGCACAUAGCACAUCCACUAGCUCUCCAAGAUUAUGAGGAGGAAUAUUGGUUGCCAUGCCAACCGCAAUCCCAGAUGAACCAUUUAACAAUAAUGUUGGUAGCCGAGCAGGCAAAAGUGAAGGUUCCUUUUGAGAAUUAUCAAAAUUAGGAACAAAAUCGACUGUGUCUAGUUCAAGAUCGGCCAACAAAACUGCUUCUGUGAGCGCUUCCAGCCUGCACUCUGUAUAACGC
rnacentral:misc_RNA from 1 species